GACGAACGCUGGCGGCGUGCCUAAUACAUGCAAGUCGAGCGCAGGAAGCUGACGGAACUCUUCGGAGGGAAGGCAGUGGAAUGAGCGGCGGACGGGUGAGUAACACGUAAGGAACCUGCCUCAAGGAUUGGGAUAACUCCGAGAAAUCGGAGCUAAUACCGGAUAGUUCAACGGACCGCAUGGUCCGCUGAUGAAAGGCGCUCCGGCGUCACCUUGAGAUGGCCUUGCGGUGCAUUAGCUAGUUGGUGGGGUAACGGCCCACCAAGGCGACGAUGCAUAGCCGACCUGAGAGGGUGAUCGGCCACACUGGGACUGAGACACGGCCCAGACUCCUACGGGAGGCAGCAGUAGGGAAUCUUCCACAGUGGACGAAAGUCUGAUGGAGCAACGCCGCGUGAGUGAUGAAGGUUUUCGGAUCGUAAAACUCUGUUGUAGGGGAAGAACACGUACGAGAGGGAAUGCUCGUACCUUGACGGUACCUUACGAGAAAGCCACGGCUAACUACGUGCCAGCCGCCGCAGUAAUAC
rnacentral:rRNA from 1 species